rnacentral:rRNA from 1 species
AACGAACGCUGGCGGCAUGCUUAACACAUGCCAGUCGAACGAGACCUUCGGGUCUAGUGGCGCACGGGUGCGUAACGCGUGGGAACCUGCCCUUAGGUUCGGAAUAACUCCCCGAAAGGGGUGCUAAUACCGGAUAAUGUCUUCGGACCAAAGAUUUAUCGCCUUUGGAUGGGCCCGCGUUGGAUUAGCUAGUUGGUAGGGUAAAAGCCUACCAAGGCGACGAUCCAUAGCUGGUCUGAGAGGAUGAUCAGCCACACUGGGACUGAGACACGGCCCAGACUCCUACGGGAGGCAGCAGUGGGGAAUAUUGGACAAUGGGCGAAAGCCUGAUCCAGCAAUGCCGCGUGAGUGAUGAAGGCCUUAGGGUUGUAAAGCUCUUUUACCCGGGAUGAUAAUGACAGUACCGGGAGAAUAAGCUCCGGCUAACUCCGUG